AGAAAUGAUAUCCAGAUGUUUUCUUAGAUGGAUAUGGAAACACUUUAUGAAGACAGAUCUGAGGAUUUGGUGAGAAGUUGUCCACACCAUGGAUUACCUAAAUGGUUGUUGAUUCAGAGUUUCUACAAUGGGUUGAAUGGUUACACUAGAAGCAAGGUAGAGUCCGCAGCAGGAGGAUUUCUAUUGGAGAAAUCAAUUAAUGAGGGUUAUAAGCUGUUGGAAGAGUUUACAGGUAAUUGUUAUGAAUGGCUUAAUGAGAGGAACA
rnacentral:misc_RNA from 1 species